rnacentral:rRNA from 1 species
AUUGAACGCUGGCGGCAUGCCUUACACAUGCAAGUCGAACGGUAACGGGCCUUCGGGUGCCGACGAGUGGCGAACGGGUGAGUAAUGUAUCGGAACGUACCUUUCAGUGGGGGAUAACGUAGCGAAAGUUACGCUAAUACCGCAUAUUCUGUGAGCAGGAAAGCAGGGGAUCGCAAGACCUUGCGCUGAUUGAGCGGCCGAUAUCAGAUUAGCUAGUUGGUGAGGUAAAGGCUCACCAAGGCGACGAUCUGUAGCGGGUCUGAGAGGAUGAUCCGCCACACUGGAACUGAGACACGGUCCAGACUCCGACGGGAGGCAGCAGUGGGGCAUUUUGGACAAUGGGGGCAACCCUGAUCCAGCCAUGCCGCGUGAGUGAAGAAGGCCUUCGGGUUGUAAAGCUCUUUCGGCCGGGAAGAAAUCGUAUGGGCUAAUACCCUGUGCGGAUGACGGUACCGGCAUAAGAAGCACCGGCUAACUACGUGCCAGCCGCCGCAGUAAUAC